rnacentral:lncRNA from 1 species
UUUGGAGCAUCCUGGAAGUUGUUCACAGCAGCAGAGUGGCAAUAGCUGCUGAGUCCACUGGAGACAAGAAGAAAAGAAAUAAAGAUGAACAAGAAGGUUGGAAGAAUGAGUGAAGAUGGAAGACCGCACAGAAAGUAAGCCCUGGGAGUUAAGCUGGAGCAUUGUGGGGUUCCCUGGGAGGAGAGGGUGCUGGGGCAGGGACUUGGACACCUGGGGGACUGUGGGGUGCUCAGCCUGGGGAAUUGGGAAGCCCUGUUUUCUGCCUCUGGCUGCAGCUGUGCCAGUCCCCAGAUGCCUGCCCUUUUCUGCCUCAGCUGUUUCUCAUUAUCCCUUGUUGGAGACUACUCCCCUUCACCUGCUGGGUGCAGAAGUAUGAUGGAGAAGAUCAGUAAUUUCACCUGCAUGUGCCAGCAGGGUUCAUAAAACAAUUGCACAGAGCUAGAAGAUCUGAGCCCUCCUCUGGUGAGGUAUGGAAAUAAUGCCUUCCUUAGUGGGCCUAACUGUUAGUAGAAAAGCAGUUACGAAUGGUCUCCAAACAAAACCUCCAGAUUCCAAGACAUAACUAAAGCCCCACUGAAGUGUCUGUCAUGCAAACAGCAACCCCAUUCCUUGCUCAGGACUUGCAGCUCCUGCUGUAGAUGGUAUAGCUCUAAAUUCAUACUAGUUUCAGAUG